rfam:Schistosoma mansoni strain Puerto Rico chromosome 1, complete genome
AUCCAGCUGACGACUCACAAAUAGGACGAAACGCGCGUCCUGGAU